rfam:Photobacterium profundum SS9
UCACUGGCCAACGGUGGGGUCUGAAGGAAGCCAUAGGAAGUUAGAUGUACACAACUAACCGUAACCUGUUUCGGCGGUGUUGGUGGGUAAGCGUCCGUAAUAGCGCGAAGCCCAAUACUUAGUCAGACCAAUACUGUGUUUGAGGGUGGAAUAUCUAGCAGGGAGUCAGU